rnacentral:misc_RNA from 1 species
ACAAGGUUUCCGUAGGUGAACCUGCGGAAGGAUCAUUACAGAAUGAAAAGUGCUUAACUGCAUUUUUUCUUACACAUGUGUUUUUCUUUUUUUGAAAACUUUGCUUUGGUAGGCCUUCUAUAUGGGGCCUGCCAGAGAUUAAACUCAACCAAAUUUUAUUUAAUGUCAACCGAUUAUUUAAUAGUCAAAACUUUCAACAACGGAUCUCUUGGUUCUCGCAUCGAUGAAGAACGCAGCGAAAUGCGAUAAGUAAUAUGAAUUGCAGAUAUUCGUGAAUCAUCGAAUCUUUGAACGCACAUUGCGCCCUUUGGUAUUCCAAAGGGCAUGCCUGUUUGAGCGUCAUUUCUCCCUCAAACCCUCGGGUUUGGUGUUGAGCGAUACGCUGGGUUUGCUUGAAAGAAAGGCGGAGUAUAAACUAAUGGAUAGGUUUUUUCCACUCAUUGGUACAAACUCCAAAACUUCUUCCAAAUUCGACCUCAAAUCAGGUAGGACUACCCGCUGAACUUAAGCAUAUCAAUAAG